CUGGCGGCUAAUGAGUUACCACGGGCUGUAUGCGGUAAAUUGCACGCUAAUGUUAGCUAACUUGCUAACCUCUAUGGGAAAUUAUAGGGGUAAGCUAACAGGCUAGAAAAGCAGUGGAAACCGGAUAUGCAGUAGUGCCCUUGCCUUACGAAAGUCGGAACAAACUUUUAAAUUAGGCCUUGUAGAUCUAAUAUGAGUGAAGAAUUCAGCUAUUGGAUUGCUUAUUUCUCAUCUCAAAUUUGUUCACAAAGAGAUUUUGGCGGACUGCUAGGGUGAAACAAGUGAACGUUUACGUAGCCUACCUCAUACAACAGAACCCUACUACGUAUGCUCAAAACCCAUUGGCUCACAGAACCAGUGGCCUCAGGAGGGAGGACUGCAAUUGGAUCCUUCUCCACCCAUCGCCGGGCACGAUCCUCAGAAAAUGAAGGCUCACUAGCUGUGUUAGCUAAUGCUGGAACCCAGAAACAAAUAUCUAUGAUCUAUUGUUUGUUUGAUAAUCUAAUCAAAGAACACAUUUUCUUGCAGUGGCCUUUCUAAAAUGAGCAGUGGUAAAAGUUAUUAUAUUCUGUUAUGAUCAAGUAGUUGACAAGCAGACAGUGUUAGCUAAUGCUAGCUAGUUGAAAAGUUGUUGUACAAAACAUAUGAUGGAUGGAGCAGGAGUUUAUAAUACUGUGAAGUGAUUCGCUGAAUUAAAAAGUGAUUGUCAACUGGUUCAGGCAGCGCAUUGGUGAAAUUAGUUUUUGACUGACAGUGGAUUGUAAGCCUCUGACUGGCCAAAUAAAAAAAAUGAUUGGCAGUUACCAUGCCCUCUCAACGUCUCUGGUCUGCAGAGAUACAAACUUGAGUCCAGUGGCCUUCACACACACAAACAAUUCAUGGAAGUGCGCAAGAGGAUGCACGUGUUUGCGCGCGUGGUUAGAAAAUUCCAGUUUUAGUAAUAGAAUGGUCCAUCUAAAGUAACGGUAUCCCUAAAACGUUAGCUUUAAAACUAUUCACCUAAAAAAUUGUAAAAGCUUGGCCACUACAGCCACCACCAAAAUACAGAGGGACAGUUUUUAGCAAAUGUUAGCUAAGAUAAUGUUAGCUUAAAAAUGAUUAGAUUAACAUUAAGAUAAUGCAAUUAAAACAAUGUUUAAUGUUCGCUAAAGGCUAAAGUUAGCCAAAAAUUGUAGUUUGUCAUCAGACAAACAUCCAAAAGUUGGAUCCGUGUAUUCAUAAUAAAUAUUGAGGGCCAUGCAAAUUAAGGGAGUUUUCCAGGAGAAACAACAAAACGGGAGGGCGUUGGGAGAUGGCCUUGAAAUACGGGAGAAACCCAGGAAAAACUGGAGCGUUGGCAGGUCUAUGUCCUAUUUGACUUCCACAAAGACUGACUUUCCCACUCAUGGUCUGGGAAAAAUAAAUGGACUGAUGACUGCAACGCCCACAGCAGAAAGCAAAAAGCACACUGCAAAAUGCUUAUGGAGGACCUGCCAUGUCACAUUUUGGAAACUUUCUGUGUUUGGGAUUAUCUGAGCAAAGCGGCUGCAGUAAAGUCCAUCCACUCCUCCUGGCUCGGGAAUGUUGGCAAGCUGCGCCGAUCCCCGAAAUGAUGUGACAAGUCGACCUCAAGUCAAG